rnacentral:rRNA from 1 species
AUUGAACGCUGGCGGCAGGCUUAACACAUGCAAGUCGAGCGGUAACAGAGAGGUGCUUGCACCUUUGCUGACGAGCGGCGGACGGGUGAGUAACGCGUAGGAAUCUACCUAGUAGUGGGGGAUAGCCCAGAGAAAUUUGGAUUAAUACCGCAUACGCCCUACGGGGGAAAGGAGGGGAUCUUCGGACCUUUCGCUAUUAGAUGAGCCUGCGUGAGAUUAGCUUGUUGGUGAGGUAAAGGCUCACCAAGGCGACGAUCUCUAGCUGGUCUGAGAGGAUGAUCAGCCACACUGGGACUGAGACACGGCCCAGACUCCUACGGGAGGCAGCAGUGGGGAAUAUUGCACAAUGGGGGGAACCCUGAUGCAGCCAUGCCGCGUGUGUGAAGAAGGCC